UACGGGGGGGGCAAGCGUUGCUCGGAAUUACUGGGCGUAAAGGGCUCGUAGGCGGCCAACUAAGUCAGACGUGAAAUCCCUCGGCUUAACCGGGGAACUGCAUCUGAUACUGGAUGGCUUGAGUUCGGGAGAGGGAUGCGGAAUUCCAGGUGUAGCGGUGAAAUGCGUAGAUAUCUGGAGGAACACCGGUGGCGAAGGCGGCAUCCUGGACCGACACUGACGCUGAGGAGCGAAAGCCAGGGGAGCAAACGGG
rnacentral:rRNA from 1 species